rnacentral:lncRNA from 1 species
AUGUUCUGUUAUAAUCUCCACCCGGCACAGCCAGAAGAGGACUGGCCACCCCUCAUAGACUGGUUCCUCUCUAGGUUUCUUCCUAGGUUUUGGCCUUUCUAGGGAGUUUUUCCUAGCCACUGUGCUUCUUCACCUGCAUUGCUUGCUGUUUGGGGUUUUAGGCUGGGUUUCUGUACAGACAUUUGAGAUAUCAGCUGAUGUAAGAAGGGCUAUAUAAAUACAUUUGAUUUGAUUGUCUUCUUGGUAAGCAACUCCAUUGUAGAUUUGGCCUUGUGUUUUAGGUUAUUGUCCUGCUGAAAAGUUAAUUAAUCCCCAGUGUCUGGUGGAAGCAGACUGACCCCGGUUUUCCUCUAGGAUUUUGCCUGUGCUUAGCUCUAUUCCGUUUCUUUUUAUCCUAAAAAACGUCCUAGAGAAGCAUACCCAUUACAUGAUGCAGCCACCGCUAUGCUUGAAAAUAUGAAGAGUGCUACACAGUAAUGUGUUGUUAGAUUUGGCCCAAGCAUAAUGUUUGUAUUUAGGACAUAAAGUACAUUUCUUUGCCACAUUUUUUUGCAGUUUUACUUGAAUGCCUUAUUGCAAACAGGAUGCAUGUCUUGUAAUAUUCUUUAUUCUGUACAGGCUUCCUCCUUUUCACUCUGUCAGUUAGGUUAGUAUUGUGGAAUAACUACAAUGUUGUUGAUCCAUCAUCAGUUUUCUCCUAUCACAGCCAUUAAACUCUAACUGUUUUAAAGUCACCACAGUCGUCAUGGAGAAAUCCCUGAGCGGUUUCAGAUAUAAUUAAAUCCUUCCUCUCUGGCAACUGAGUUAGGAAGGACACCUGUAUCUUUGUAGUGACUGGGUGUAUUGACACACCAUGUAAAGUGUAAUUAAUAUCUUCACCUUGCUCAAAGGGAUAUUCAAUGUCUGCUUUUUAAAAUACUUUUAUUUUUAUACUCAUCUACCAAUAGGUGCCCUUAAUUGCAAGGCAUUGGAAAAUAUUCCUGGUCUUUGGGGUUGAAUCUGUGUGUCAAGGUUGUCGUAGGUUAGAGACCAAAACGCAGCGGGUAUAUGUACACUCAUCUUCUUUUAUUAGGACAAAGAAGGGAAACCAAAACAUAUACAAAAACACAACGACGAUAAACAGUCCUGUAAGGCAUAAAGCUAAACACAGAAAUAACCUCCCACAAAGUGACAGGUGAAAACAGGCUCCCUAAGUAUGACUCUCAAUCAGCAACAACGAUGUACAGCUGUUCCUGAUUUAGAGUCAUACCAGGCCAACACAGAAAUACAAAACUAGAACAGCCCCUUAGAAAUACAAACACAAGAACAUACCCAAUACCCCAGAACAUAUAAAUCAAAUACCCCUCUACAAUACACACACACCCCGAACCACCUAAAUCAACUACCCCCUCUACAUCGACACUUACACCAAUAAACCCCAGAAACACUCUACACAAAAUAUCCCUCUAUCUAAACACAUACACAAAACCAUGAAAACAAAUACCCUCUGCCACGUCCUGACCAAACUACAAUAACAAAUAGACCCCUUUACUGGUCAGGACGUGACACUGUGUUUGAAAUUCACUGCUCGACUGAGGACCUUACAGCUAAUUGUAUGUGUGGGGUUCAGAGAUGAGGUAGUCAUUCAAAAAUCAUGUUAAACACUAUUUUGCAAUCCAUGUGACAUAUUAUGUGACUUGUUAAGCACAUUUUUUACUUCUGAACUUAUUUAGGCAUGCCAUAACAAUGGGGUUGAAUACUUAUAGGCUCAAGACAUUUCAGCUUUUCAUCUUUAAUUAAUUUGGAAAUUUUUCUAAAAACAUUAUUCCACACAUUAUUCCACUUUUACAUUAUGGGGUAUUUUGUGUAGGCCAGUGCCCCAAAAAAUCUGAAUUUAAUAAAUUUGAAAUUCAGGCUGUAACACAACAAAAUGUGGAAAAAGUAAAUGGGUGUGAAUACUUUCUGAAGGCACUGUAGGUAGCUACGUGGGCUAACGUAGGCUAUUGAAUUGCUUGAAAAUACGUCCAUCAGUGUCAACAAUCUUUAGUCACGGUUACUAGGUAAAAAUAUUGCUUUGGACGCGUCUGCCGAUGUACUCUUCCACACUUUGCUUACUUCCUUACAAAUAAAGAUUGCAGUACACUGAAGUAUAACUGCAGUUAGAGUGCAGUAUAACUGCAGUAUGCUGCAAAUAAUAACACAGUUUUUUUUACUGCAGUAAUUUUUCAGUGUAACUGCAGUUCAAAUGCAGUACACUGCAGUUAUUCUGCAAUUACUCUGUCCAAAAUACCACAGUUGACCGCAGUUACUGAAGUUUCAAAACCGCAAUCUUUUUUUGUAAGAGUUGAUAUCUAGUGAACUCGUUCAAAACUGCCACUGUCCUGCUAUGUCAGUUGGCCAACUGUGUUUACACUCGAACACAAUUUAUCCUUGCGCCCAUCAUCACAGCGGAUUAAUGAAAUUAUCACGUUUCAGGAGAAGACCCAGUUGCAGACAGUGUCGAAGUAACAAAAGUUUAUUACUAGAACAGGGGGCAGGCAAAACGACAGGUCAAGGGCAGGCAGAGCUAAGUAAUCCAGAUCAGAGUCCAUAAGGUACAGAACGGCAGGCAGUCUCAGGGUCAGGGCAGCCAGAGGUCAAUAAUCCAGGGUGGUGUGACAAGGUACAGAACGACAGGAAGGCUCAGGGCAGGCAGAAUGGUCAAAACCGGGAAAACUAGAAAACAGGAACUAGAAAAGGACAGGAGCAAGUGGAAAAACGCUGGUAGGCUUGACGAACAAAACAAACUGGCAACAGACAAACAGAGAAUACAGGUAUAAAUACACUGGAGAUAAUUGGGCUCCUGAGUGGCGCAGUGGUCUUAGACACUGCAUCUCAGUGUAAGAGCUGGCACUGCAGUACCUGGCUUGAAUCCAGGCUGCAUCACAUCUGGCCCUGAUUGGGAGUCCCAAUUGUGGCGCACAAUUGGCCCAGGGUCGUCUGGUUUGGCCGGGGUAGGCUGUCAUUGUAAAUAACAAUUUGUUCUUAACUGACAUGCCUAGUUAAAUAAAGGUGAAAAAGAUCAGGGUGUGACAGAAAUACACAGUUUGGAGAAUAAAAAAAAGAAUGCAUUAUUUUUUUUUUAUUGUAUAAUCUAAUAUAUACUUCUUAAGAAUACUGAGCGUACAAAGUGUGAGCCACACAGCUUUGGAUUUGUUAGAAUGUCUAUUUCUCUGCUUUUGAGAGGAGCUGGCUAGUACAUACAGUACAAAUUGACUUUCAGCAAUUUCCCUAAGCUAACGAUAUGCUACUUUCAACUUCCUUCAAACUGCAGAGACAUAAAAAUGGUAUCCAUGAGUUUGUCUGACUCUGGGUAAGGAGUAAAUUACCCAAAAUUACCAAAUCCCAAAGUAUCCCUUUAACCCCUAAGCCUAACCCCUGGCCUAGCUAACAUUAUCCACCUAGCUAAUUGAAACGUUAGUCGCCUAUCUAACAUUAGCCAAAAUAAAUUGGAAUUCGUAACAUAUCAUACAAAUUGUCAUUCGUAACAUAUCAUACCAUUGAUGGACACCCACAUAUUGGAUCAACUCUACUCAGAAAAUUGGAUGCAGUCUAUCACAGUGCCAUCCGUUUUGUCACCAAAGCCCCAUAUACUACCCACCACUGCAACCUGUAUGCUCUCGUUGGCUGGCCCUCGCACCAUAUACACUGGUCACCAUAGCAGCACCCACCUGUAGCACGCGCUCCAGCAGGUAUAUUUCAUUGGUCACCCCCAAAGCCAAUUCCUCAUUUGGCCGCCUUGCCUUCCAGUUCUCUGCUGCCAAUGACUGGAACGAAUUGCAAAAAUCACUGACACUGGAGACUCAUAUCUCCCUCACUAACUUAUUAGCACCAGCUGUCUGAGCAGCUCACAAAUCACUGCACCUGUACAUAGCCCAUCUGUAAAUAGCCAAUCCAACGACCUCAUCCCCAUACUGUUUUUGUUGUUGUUGCUCCUUUGCACCCCAGUAUCUCUACUUGCACAUUCAUCUUCGGCAUAUCUAUCAUUCCAGUGUUUAAUUGCUAAAUUGUAAUUAUUUCGCCACUAUGGCCUAUUUAUUGCCUUACCUCCCUUAGCUUACCUCAUUUGCACACACUGUAUAUAGACUUUUUUUCUAUUGUGUUAUUGACUGUAUGUUUGUUUAUUCCAUGUGUAACUCUGUGUUGUUGUUUGUGUCGCACUGCUUUGCUUUAUCUUGGCCAGGUCGCAGUUGUAAAUGAGAACUUGUUCUUAACUAGCCUAC